rnacentral:sRNA from 1 species
AGAAGCAGAAGCCCGCCAGGAAGCGGCGAAUGGUAGAGGAGAUCGGGGUGGAGCUGGUUGUUCUGGACCUGCCUGACUUGCCAGAGGAUAAGCUGGCUCAGUCGGUGCAGAGACUUCAGGACUUGACACUCCGAGACCUGGAGAAGCAGGAACGGGAAAAAGCUGCCAACAGCUUGGAAGCGUUCAUAUUUGAGACCCAGGUCAGUGGGCAGGAGGCAGCAGCCCCCACACUGGGCUUACACCUGGCUCUGUGGGCCUUGCCUCUGGGCUUGUGGGUGCAUGUGUUUACAUGUCCCCCUCCCCAGGACAAGCUGUACCA